UGCUGUGGGCAAAUUGAGUGGGAUACCUGGUAACGCUUCAUGUCCUUCACACGGUCCAGAGACACGGAGCAGUCGGUCCAGAACAGCGUCCAGUCUUCACCCUCCAUCGCCUCCCUGAGUCCGUAUCUACGAGCAGCUCGCCGCACUGAGACAAAUCACACAUUCAUUAGCUUUUAGGUGAUCCAGAUGUUUCCUGAGAGCAGCCGGGCUUCCCACCAAACGCUGAGCCUGCUGCAGAGAUUUGCUCCCAUUCAGCUACAAGGUCCAACGCUGGUGUUAGGUGAUAAGAUCUGGAUCAUAGCGGGUGUUUAAAUUGAUCCCAGAGGCUCUGUGCAGGCAGCUCAAGUUCUUCUACACCAAACUGGGAAAACAGUUGUGUACGGAAGAGAUGAUGAUGUAGAAAGAGUAAAAUUAUCAUGAAAACAAACUGUUACUGCCACAAAGCUGGAAGACACUAUUGUCUAAUAUAUCAUUGAUUUCCCUUUAAAGAGUAUGAAGGGACCAAUAUAAUUAAAGAACGAGUGUAAACAGACAAUCCUAAGUGCUUCAGUAGAAAGGACCUGGACUUCUGUUUUUGGUUCUUGAAGACAUUUUGCUUCAAAUCAUCAAUUUUUUAGAAAAAUUGUUUCUGCUUGACCAUUUCUGAUUUGCAUUAAAUUUUCAGAGCAUUAAAUAUGCAUUUUUAUAAAGAUAAUUGUGACAUUUUAGCUUUAUAUAUCAAAUACUUCCUGAGGUGUUUUUUUUUAUUUGUUCUUUUAGCACAUUUUUUCCACACACUGAAGUUUCAAGCUGGUUGAACAACAAAUUUCACUGUUAUUUCUCAUCAUGUUAUUGAUUCAGAAUCUGUAAUAUUGGACGUGUAAAUCAGAUAAUCUCUAAUUGUGGGUGAGUUAAAAUAUGAAAACAAAAGUCUCAUCUAAGAGCUCAUAUUAACAAAGGUUAUUUAGAUUUAACUUUCUUAACUUAUCCAAUGAGAGCAGAGUUCUGGAGGUUCAAAAUGUUUCUCCAAACAUAACUUAUUUUCCAUUUUUGGAUCCCAAAAAAGUCAAUCUAAAAUUCCACAGAGAAGCUUUUAAAUAUCCAUAGUCUGAACCAAUCAGAGCUGGUUGAGCAGAAAGGCCUUGAUGAUCUGAGAUGGAAUCACUCAGCUGCGUCUUCAGGUCUAACUUGUUCACCUCCAGAGAGUCGGCAUGUUGUCGAUUUUUGUUUUACCUCACGAUCGACAGUCCACCACUCUGACACCAGUGGUUCCAGCGUCUGUGCUACGGUUUCUGUCACUCUUUUACUACCUCUUCUCCAGAGGAUUCAGGUGGAAGGGAUGAGGUAUAUUUUGGUCGCUCCAAUUUGGCCCUCAGAUAUUUAUUUUCAUCCCCAAAUCACACGACUCGUGGCCCAUUAGCAACUUGUAUGCCUCAAGAUUUGAAAGGUUGCAACACUGUCUAGAGAAUCGUCUCAGGACUGCAUUAUAAGCACCUGACAGGAUGUCCGAACACUUUUAGUCAGGUUAUAUAUUGUUAUUUCUAUACAAGUUUCUUAUUUGUGUACCCAUGUCUUAUUUUCUUUCUCAGCUAUGAAGCCUCUAUACUUCACUGUAUGUAGAGUUAUAAUAAAGAUGAAAUAAAUAUUGCA